GAUGAACGCUGACAGAAUGCUUAACACAUGCAAGUCAACUGUGGCGGACGGGUGAGUAACGCGUAAAGAACUUGCCUCACAGCUAGGGCCACCAUUUGGAAACGAAUGCUAAUACCUGAUACUGUGAGAGAGCUUUGCGUCCCAUUAGCUAGUUGGAGAGGUAACGGCUCACCAAGGCGAUGAUGGGUAGCCGGCCUGAGAGGGUGAUCGGCCACAAGGGGACUGAGACACGGCCCUGACUCAGACGGGAGGAAGGAGUGGGGAAUAUUGGGAGAUGGACCAAAGUCUGAUCAAGCAAUUCGGUGUGUACGAUGAAGUUUUCGGAAUGUAAAGUGCUUUCAGUUGGGAAGCGGUACCAACAGAAGAAGUGACGGCUAAAUACGUGCCAGCAGCCGCGGUAAUAC
rnacentral:rRNA from 1 species